rnacentral:rRNA from 1 species
UACGGGGGGAGCAAGCGUUGUUCGGAAUCACUGGGCUUAAAGGGCGCGUAGGCGGCCCGCCGCGUCCGGGGUGAAAUCCUCCCGCUCAACGGGAGAACGGCCUCGGAUACGGGCGGGCUGGAGGCGGGUAGGGGCACGCGGAACUGUGGGUGGAGCGGUGAAAUGCGUUGAGAUCCACAGGAACUCCGGUGGCGAAGGCGGCGUGCUGGACCCGUCCUGACGCUGAGGCGCGAAAGCCAGGGGAGCGAACGGG